rnacentral:rRNA from 1 species
CGGGUGGUAAAUUCCAUCUAAGGCUAAAUAACGGCAAGAGACCGAUAGCGAACAAGUACCGUGAGGGAAAGAUGAAAAGAACUUUGAAAAGAGAGUUAAACAGUACGUGAAAUUGUUGAAAGGGGAACGAUUGAGGCCAGUCAUGCCUGCGAGAAAUCAAUCAGUUGAUCGGGUUUUCGAAUCAGAUUUGUUGGUGCACUUUUUCGCGUGGCAGGUUAGCAUCAACUUUGAUGGUUGUAAAAUGGUGGUCGGAAGGUGGCUCUUUUUUGAGUGUUAUAGCCGGCUGCAGAUGCAACGAUCGGGGUUGAGGUUUGCGGCAAAUGCCUUUGGGCUACUUACCUUCCUUCUGAUCUGUUCACUUUGAAAUGACAGCUUGCUGACAUUUUAGAGGGCGUUCAAUCAAUAGGGCAGAGUAGGAUAAAUUUGCCAAGGAUGCUGACGUAAUGACCUUAAACGACCCGUCUUGAAACACGGACCAAGGAGUCUAACAUACGUGCGAGUGUUUGGGUGGCAAACCCAUACGCGAAAUGAAGGUGAACGUAGGUGGGAUCUGUCGCUUUACGGCAGUGCAGCAUCGACC